rnacentral:rRNA from 1 species
CAGGGAUUGCCUCAGUAACGGCGAGUGAAGCGGCAGCAGCUCAAAUUUGAAAUCUGACCCCCCCGGGGCCCGAGUUGUAAUUUGCAGAGGGUGCUUCGGGCGCGGCGCCGGUCUAAGUUCCUUGGAACAGGACGUCGUAGAGGGUGAGAAUCCCGUAUGCGACCGGCGGCCAAGCCCAUGUGAAGUCCCUUCGACGAGUCGAGUUGUUUGGGAAUGCAGCUCAAAACGGGUGGUAAAUUUCAUCUAAAGCUAAAUACCGGCCAGAGACCGAUAGCGGACAAGUAGAGUGAUCGAAAGAUGAAAAGCACUUUGGAAAGAGAGUCAAACAGUACGUGAAAUUGUUGAAAGGGAAGCGCUUGCGAUCAGACCGGUCCGGGGGCGAUCAGCCGCGGCUCGCCCGCGGUGCACUCGCCCCCGAUCCGGCCAGCAUCGGUCUGGGCGGCGGGAGAAAAGUCCCGGGAACGUAGCUUCCCUCGGGGAGUCUUAUAGCCCGGGUCGCCAUGCCGCCCGCCCGGACCGAGGACCGCGCUUCGGCUAGGAUGCUGGCGUAAUGGUCGCAAGCGACCCGUCUUGAAACACGGACCAAGGAGUCUAACAUCUAUGCGAGUGUUUGGGUGUCAAACCCGGGCGCGGAAUGAAAGUGAACCGAGGUGGGAACCCGUCGCACGGCGCACCAUCGACCGAUCCAGAUGUCUUCGGAUGGAUUUGAGUACGAGCAUAGCUGUUGGGACCCGAAAGAUGGUGAACUAUGCCCGGAUAGGGUGAAGCCAGAGGAAACUCUGGUGGAGGCUCGCAGCGGUUCUGACGUGCAAAUCGAUCGUCAAAUCUAGGCAUAGGGGCGAAAGACCAAUCGAACCAUCUAG